rnacentral:rRNA from 5 species
UGCGACCCCAGGUCAGGCG